rnacentral:rRNA from 1 species
CUACGGGGGGCUCCAGUGAGGAAUAUUGCACAAUGGGGGAAACCCUGACGCAACAACGCCGCGUGAGUGAAGAAGGCCCUUGGGUCGUAAAGCUCUGUCAAUGGGGAAGAAGUUAUUAUGUGUUAAUAGCACAUUUUAUUGACGGUACCCAUGAAGGAAGCACCGGCUAACUCCGUGCCAGCAGCCGCGGUAAUACGGGGGGUGCAAGCGUUAUUCGGAAUUAUUGGGCGUAAAGGGCACGCAGGCGGUCCUGUCAGUCAGAUGUGAAAGCCCGGGGCUCAACCCCGGACGUGCAUUUGAAACAGCAGGACUUGAGUACGGGAGAGGAAAGGGGAAUUCCUGGUGUAGAGGUGAAAUUCGUAGAUAUCAGGAGGAACACCGGUGGCGAAGGCGCCUUUCUGGACCGAUACUGACGCUGAGGUGCGAAGGCGUGGGUAGCGAACGGGAUUAGAUACCCGGGUAGUC